rnacentral:rRNA from 1 species
CCGUACUUGGUAUAACUGCGAUGUGGGGACGGAGAAGGUUAGGUUAUCGCACUGUUGGAUGUGCGUUUAAGCCGGUAGGUGGGUGUUUUAGGCAAAUCCGGAACACCAUUCAACACCGAGAAGUGAUGACGAGGUUCUACGGAACUGAAGUAACCGAUACCACGCUUCCAGGAAAAGCCACUAAGCUUCAGGUUAUACUAAACCGUACUAUAAACCGACACAGGUGGUCAGGUAGAGAAUACUCAGGCGCUUGAGAGAACUCGGGUGAAGGAACUAGGCAAAAUAGCACCGUAACUUCGGGAGAAGGUGCGCCGGCGUAGAUUGUAGUGAUUUACUCACGAAGGUUGAACCGGUCGAAGAUACCAGCUGGCUGCAACUGUUUAUUAAAAACACAGCACUCUGCAAACACGAAAGUGGACGUAUAGGGUGUGAUGCCUGCCCGGUGCUGGAAGAUUAAAUGAUGGGGUGCAAGCUCUUGAUUGAAGUCCCAGUAAACGGCGGCCGUAACUAUAACGGUCCUAAGGUAGCGAAAUUCCU